rnacentral:rRNA from 1 species
GACGAACGCUGGCGGCGUGCUUAACACAUGCAAGUCGAACGGAAAGGCCCUGCUUUUGUGGGUUGCUCGAGUGGCGAACGGGUGAGUAACACGUGAGUAACCUGCCCUUGACUUUGGGAUAACUUCAGGAAACUGGGGCUAAUACCGGAUAGGAGCUCCUGCUGCAUGGUGGGGGUUGGAAAGUUUCGGCGGUUGGGGAUGGACUCGCGGCUUAUCAGCUUGUUGGUGGGGUAGUGGCUUACCAAGGCUUUGACGGGUAGCCGGCCUGAGAGGGUGACCGGCCACAUUGGGACUGAGAUACGGCCCAGAAUCCUACGGGAGGCAGCAGUGGGGAAUAUUGCACAAUGGGCGGAAGCCUGAUGCAGCAACGCCGCGUGCGGGAUGAAGGCCUUCGGGUUGUAAACCGCUUUCGCCUGUGACGAAGCGUGAGUGACGGUAAUGGGUAAAGAAGCACCGGCUAACUACGUG